GAUGAACGCUGACGGCGUGCCUAAUACAUGCAAGUCGAGCGAACGGACGAGAAGCUUGCUUCUCUGAUGUUAGCGGCGGACGGGUGAGUAACACGUGGAUAACCUACCUAUAAGACUGGGAUAACUUCGGGAAACCGGAGCUAAUACCGGAUAAUAUUUGAACCGCAUGGUUCAAAAGUGAAAGACGGUCUUGCUGUCACUUAUAGAUGGAUCCGCGCUGCAUUAGCUAGUUGGUAAGGUAACGGCUUACCAAGGCAACGAUGCAUAGCCGACCUGAGAGGGUGAUCGGCCACACUGGAACUGAGACACGGUCCAGACUCCUACGGGAGGCAGCAGUAGGGAAUCUUCCGCAAUGGGCGAAAGCCUGACGGAGCAACGCCGCGUGAGUGAUGAAGGUCUUCGGAUCGUAAAACUCUGUUAUUAGGGAAGAACAUAUGUGUAAGUAACUGUGCACAUCUUGACGGUACCUAAUCAGAAAGCCACGGCUAACUACGUG
rnacentral:rRNA from 1 species